GAUGAACGCUAGCGACAGGCUUAACACAUGCAAGUCGAGGGGCAGCACAGGUAGCAAUACCGGGUGGCGACCGGCGCACGGGUGAGUAACGCGUAUGCAACUUACCUAUCAGAGGGGGAUAACCCGGCGAAAGUCGGACUAAUACCGCAUGAAGCAGGGGUCCCGCAUGGGGAUAUUUGCUAAAGAUUCAUCGCUGAUAGAUAGGCAUGCGUUCCAUUAGGCAGUUGGCGGGGUAACGGCCCACCAAACCGACGAUGGAUAGGGGUUCUGAGAGGAAGGUCCCCCACAUUGGUACUGAGACACGGGCCAAACUCCUACGGGAGGCAGCAGUGAGGAAUAUUGGUCAAUGGCCGAGAGGCUGAACCAGCCAAGUCGCGUGAGGGAUGAAGGUUCUAUGGAUCGUAAACCUCUUUUAUAAGGGAAUAAAGUGCGGGACGUGUCCCGUUUUGUAUGUACCUUAUGAAUAAGGAUCGGCUAACUCCGUG
rnacentral:rRNA from 1 species